rnacentral:rRNA from 1 species
UGGCCCUCUGGGUAAUGUGCUCGCCUAGAUCAUCAUGUAUAUAACCAUUUAAUAUUUCUAUCUAUCACCCUUGUGCACAAUGUACUUAUAGCUUUAACUAUAGUUAAGUUAUAAAUGCCUUUUUUAAUCAUAUCACACAAUGGGAAUUUUGGGUACCAUUUUAAAUAUGGAUGGUAAUAUAUAAUAUAUAACUUUCAGCAAUGGAUCUCUUGGCUCUCGCAUCGAUGAAGAACACAGCGAAAUGUGAUAAGUAAUGUGAAUUGCAGAAUUCAGUGAAUCAUCGAAUCUUUGAACGCAUCUUGCACUCCUUGGUAUUCUGAGGAGUAUGCCUGUUUGAGUGUCAUAUAACUUAUCAACUACUUUGUUACCAAAGUGAAGUUGGAUUAUGAAGGACCUUUGAAAUGCAGUCAGUUGCUGACUGCUCCUUCAAAAUGUAUAUCAGGUAAUAUCUUGGGGUAUUUAAAAAGAUCAUCAAUGAGAUAAGUCAACAUUGUUGAUGUUUUUUAUUAUGCACUCUAAGAUUCUAUCAGAAUUUAUUUUAUAAACUUUUUAUACAAGUUUAUAAAGCAAGUUUUUAUAAUUUGACCUCAAAUCAGGUAGGAUUACCCGCUGAACUUAAGCAUAUCAAUAA